UCUCAGCUGGGUAUAACUGAUUUAGAGGGUUUUCAUGAAACCAGUCUCAGCCCAGUCAGUCAAAGAGGACGACCACCCCCAAUAGAGGAGGACCAUUCCUCAGUCAAGGGUAUACAAGUAGCUGCACUCCCCUGCUAGAACCUCCAAACAAGCUCUCAGAUAACACAUUGAAAAAUGUCUCAUC
rnacentral:sRNA from 1 species